rnacentral:lncRNA from 1 species
UGGUAAAGUUUUAUUGUGGCUGUAAAUUUUGCUUUACAUCUUUAACAAAAAUGAUAGAUACACAUACAUAAAGUACAAACCAUGAUAUCAGGGAUGACAAACAGCUUAAAAGAACAUUCUAAUGUAAUUGGAAUACAUGUAUUUUCGCUUCACAUACUGAAAGAGUGUCUAUACACCAUUAGCCAAUAAUGGGAGAGGAGGCUAGAUAUAAUACACCAAUUUAGUAACCUAUUUGCCAUGAUUGGUGUAAAAUUAAAUGGUUACAAUAUAUAUUGUAUGACCACUCAGGAUAUCUUUAUUGAGAAAGAGACCAGUUGGUCGUGGAACAUUGCAACAGGUACAUUUUUCAUGUAAAUAUUUGAUGCAUUUAUUUUCAAAUGAUCAUUAUAUGUGUAUUUCAAUUCGAAUACACUGUGACAACAUAGUAAUUUUUAGUCAGUGAUGUAUACCCUGCAACUUUCCACAUCAAUUCUGCAGUGUAAAUUUUGCUUUCUCAGUGGAAAUAAUACAAUAAUUAUCCGGCAAUAAGCCCAUGCUUGGUAAUAAGCCCAUCCAUCAUAUCUAUUACAGUUCAAUAGAAAUUUCAAUAAAUGCUAUUUUACUGUCUUGUAAAAACCUAGCCCCCAUUAUUUCGAGUCAGAGGUGCCAAUAAAUGCUAUUUUAAUGUCUUGUAAAAACCUAGCCCCCAUUAUUUCGAGUCAGAGGUGCCAAUAAAUGCUAUUUUACUGUCUUGUAAAAACCUAGCCCCCAUUAUUUUGAGUCAGAGGUGAUGUGUUGUCCCUGACUGGGCUUAUUGCAGGAUAAAUAUGGUGAUUAAAACUGAUAAUAAUGUUUACAUGUAUAUACAAUUGUUAUUACUAAUGUGUUAUAACUUAAGAUUCCACACUGAAUACCCAGUGUUACCUGUGAAUGGGUACUCGGGUGAAUAGGGCACCUGCCUAUGUGCGUGUGUGUGUAGUCAUGCGCGAGUGCGGGCAUGACCUUUGACAUUACUUAGUAGUGUACCUAUAUACCUGCUGGUGUGCUACCUGACAGGCAGUUAGAGAAGGAGAACAGAGACAAAACAUCAAAACAACCUCCAUGACACAAGCCAAAAAUAAUGGUAUAUGUCACUGCAGUUUUAGCUACCAGUGACCAUUGGUUGGAGUCAGGCCACCGCCUAGUCCGAACUAUUCUGACGUUUUAUCGUCUCUUUUUCGACGACAGACCGAUAUAAAAAAAGUCGAUAAAACGUCGGAAUAAUUCGGACUAGCCACCACCCAGAACCCUGGAUUAGGGUGUGGUUGAUUGCUUUGUUUAAGUCUACAUGUACAGGUGUACCAAGUGGCUCUGGUAGAGGGUUUAUCUGGUACUUGGUAGCUACCAGGUGUCAGCACCAAGUGGUACCAAGUACCAAGUUCUCAUCAGUGUGGUCUGGUUGGUGGCAGGUCUAGGUCUACACCAUGGUCACUGGUGAUUUACCAAUACACUUUAAUUUACUUAUAUGAUUUGAAUAAGCCAACCUAGAAAUAUUAAUAAAAGAUCAAUUUGAGACAAUUAAUUGUUUUCUUGUUGUUGAGCAGACCAUCAAGGACCUAUUGAUGUAUGUGACGACCAGAAAACGUUACAUUAUGGUAUGUAUAGUACGCUUAACACUAAUAUUUGUUGUCAUGAUGCAAAACACGAUUUAUAGGUGGUACUGUCAAUGUCCUAGGUAAUUCUUCUGUUUCAAGGUGUGAUAAUAACGGUAACCAGGGCCCACAGUAUCCAGACUUUGGUUUGGUUUGUUUGUGUUAAUUACGUCCUAAUAACAGCCAUGGUCAUUUAAGGACGCGCCAGGUUUUGGUGGUGGAGGAAAGCCGAAGUACAUACUGUACCCGGAGAAAAACUACCAACCAGAGGCCAGUACCUGUGUAUUGCCCCAUGUGGGCCUUGAACCUGUGGUGGAGGGGCAAAUGGUAGCAGAAUGUCAGACGCCUUAACCACUUGGCCACUGCGGCCCCAGCUUCCAGACCAAGUAAUGAAUUUUGGGUAUUUGUAGCCCUUUGUAGAAAUCAUAUUGAAAAUGUAUCUCCUGAUAUCAUGGACAUGGACAGAAUUUAUAGUCAGACAAAAAAUAAUAAAUGGAAAGUGAUACAGAACCUUGAUAAUACACAGAACAUAUACUUAAGUUCUCUAAAUGACAUUGAGGUUACACCUAGAAACUAAAUAACAAUUAUAUUAAAAUAAUAUAAAUAUCACACGGUGUUAAUAAUCUAAAUGAAAAAUAACUAUAGAACAUAUCAAUAAAUAUCUUAACAUAGCAAAAAUUAUAUUACAAUUACUAAAAUAUAAAGCACUUUUUUUUCGUUCUAAGCACGAGACAUCUAGUUACCUUGUUAUUUAUGUCAUGUAAAUAAAAUGAACAAGUUUUGGAGAUCCAUUCAGUUUGAUAAAAGCAUAUCAAUCAAGCUUGCUGCAGAAAUCAGUUAAUUAUGACACCUACAAAUCUAUUACGGCAUACCAGGAAUCUCUCACCCAGUCAAUUAUUCGCCAUUCACAGGUAAAAUCCAUUUACAUUUCAGUAAUAAUUACCAUAACUUUAGUAUGCAUAUUCAAUACCCAUACCCAUCUUUGUAGCCCAAAAACAAAGGAUUAAAAAAUCCUGCCUUCCCUAUCAUCAAAUGAGCCGGCCACAUCUUGACACAGAGUGAUCUCCCUUCCUCUUCUUCAAAUUCGCCCAGUGUAUAUUCUGCCCGUCACUACCUUAUAGGGUGUGCUGUGUACUAAUAUUCACUGUCGUGAUAUAUAUUCGCCCUCAUUGUGGAGAGCUAAAA